rnacentral:rRNA from 1 species
GGGCUGCAGUGGGGAAUAUUGGACAAUGGGCGCAAGCCUGAUCCAGCCAUGCCGCGUGUGUGAAGAAGGCCUUCGGGUUGUAAAGCACUUUCAGCGAGGAGGAAGGGGUAGUAGUUAAUAGCUGCUACUUUUGACGUUACUCGCAGAAGAAGCACCGGCUAACUCUGUGCCAGCAGCCGCGGUAAUACAGAGGGUGCAAGCGUUAAUCGGAAUUACUGGGCGUAAAGCGCACGUAGGCGGUUCGUUAAGUUGGAUGUGAAAGCCCCGGGCUCAACCUGGGAAUUGCAUUCAAAACUGGCUAACUAGAGUAUGUGAGAGGGGGGUAGAAUUCCAAGUGUAGCGGUGAAAUGCGUAGAGAUUUGGAGGAAUACCAGUGGCGAAGGCGGCCCCCUGGCACAAUACUGACGCUGAGGUGCGAAAGCGUGGGGAGCAAACAGGAUUAGAUACCCGGGUAGUC